GAUGCUAUGAUGAGAUUAGACACCAAAAGUCUUUUGAGGGGCAGUGGACAAGACCUUUGUGGCCUUGUCGUGAACCCAUUAACUCACAAAUGACAUCUCCUUCCACUGAGCACA